CGGACUGUGUGGCAGGUCAUUUGCAAGGAGAAAAGCCGUCUGCCUCUUAAUUUGUGGCUCAAGUUUCAGAAUUUUUUUCCUGAGGGACUUUAGAAAUUACUUCAGGCUUGCCACCUAACCUUAAACCACCCCCUUGGAGACUGGCUAAGUGUUAUUUGUGUUUUCUGUUUAGUUCUUAUCACCAUCGAUACUUGGUUAUGACAAUGGUUGUGUACAUUGGUUAGCCCAGCAAGUAUUACUUCUCCAGCUUAACAGAUGUGGAAACUUAAGCCCAGAGACAUGAGUUGACACCCCACCCCCAAAGCUAGAAUCUAAAACCCUUUCCUUCGCUCCUCAUCUCCCACAGGAUAAAAUGCAAAUUAAUCAGACUAGUGGUGAGGCCCUCCGUGGUAUGACUAACCUGCAUCCCGACGUUUUCACCCUACUUUGAUCCAGAAAGCAUCUUUCCGCCCCAUCUCUUCUCCUUUCCUUAAAUACCCCUUACAACUUCCUGUACCAUUCUUCCCUGUUCAGCUUCUACUUGGUUUCUUCGUACAUUCUGGAUCCACCCCUUUCAUGCAUAUUCCAGACCACAUUUCCACUGGAGCAUUUGAAAUGAGAGAUGGGAAUGGGACUCACCCGACCCAGAGGAAUUUUUAUUGCAGACCCAUUAACAGAGGUGUCAAAGUCACAGGAACAAGGAUGUGCACCUCAGAAACACAGAGCUCAGUGGAAAAUCAGUUUGCUUCUAUUUGUUUAAAAAAUGGAGGACUUUUAUGCAUAAAUCUAAGACCUUCUUGAAUCUAACAUUCUAAGACCUGUAUGCCACAGAAAGGAGGGUCUCAGAAUGCUGGAGGAUAGUAUUUAAAUCUUAAAUAUCUAUAUUGUUCUCCACAGUUACUGGGUCACCACAUAGCAGGCAUUCAAUAAAAAC
rnacentral:lncRNA from 1 species